rnacentral:rRNA from 1 species
CCUACGGGGGGCUGCAGUGGGGAAUAUUGCACAAUGGGCGCAAGCCUGAUGCAGCCAUGCCGCGUGUGUGAAGAAGGCCUUCGGGUUGUAAAGCACUUUCAGCGGGGAGGGAGGCGUUAAGGUUAAUAACCUUGGCGAUUGACGUUACCCGCAGAAGAAGCACCGGCUAACUCCGUGCCAGCAGCCGCGGUAAUACGGAGGGUGCAAGCGUUAAUCGGAAUUACUGGGCGUAAAGCGCACGCAGGCGGUCUGUCAAGUCGGAUGUGAAAUCCCCGGGCUCAACCUGGGAACUGCAUUCGAAACUGGCAGGCUAGAGGCUUGUAGAGGGGGGUAGAAUUCCAGGUGUAGCGGUGAAAUGCGUAGAGAUCUGGAGGAAUACCGGUGGCGAAGGCGGCCCCCUGGACAAAGACUGACGCUCAGGUGCGAAAGCGUGGGGAGCAAACAGGAUUAGAUACCCGAGUAGUC